UGGCGCCUUAAUAAUGGCAUCAAUGUCGAUAUCCUGCGGAUUAGGCGACGGCCGGCGUUUUUUAAGCUUGGGGCUACCUGGCGGAGUAUGAACAUCGAUAUCGCGUCCCACGAACUGUAAUUAGAAUUUAUACAACUCCAUCGAAUUACCACAUCAUUCGAGUUUUACUACCACCAUACAAUUGGUGUCCACUAUUUGAUAAAGGAACUGUGUUGAUACUUUUUAUUCUGAAACCUCACAUAGAGAUGGGGGCCAAAAACCUACUAAUAAAAGUAUAUUUACUAUAAUACAGUCA